rnacentral:piRNA from 1 species
UCUUCUUGUAAGAAGCCAAGAAGCAACGGA